AGAGAAGUCCCUCCCCCGAGGCUCUGAGGCCUCGCCCAGCUCCCUCCUGCUGUGUGGAGGAUGCCCUGCUCAGGAGGGGAGAAUGAGGCCCAGAAAUGGGACAGCAGAGCCGGGAGCCAUCAAGCUGACGGGACUCCUGUCCACCAGUGACACAUACAUUGAUGGAAGGCUGGUCUCCGGCAUUGGGAGGUGUGGCUGCCGGCUGGGAGCUGCUCUGUGAUAGCCUAGGACAUCCAGGUCACGUCCUCGAGGGCCCCACAGCAUCCUAGGCAGGGACAUAGACAAGUCCCUCCCCCAAACCCAAAGGCCUCCUUUCCCAGCGUGGGAGACACCAAAGAUCCAAGACGAGCUGCCCGGAGGCCCUGCGUCCUGAGAAGUGGAGGACUCAUCUGGCAACGACAAGGAUGCCCGUUGGGCCCGGGGCUUCGUGCACGCUCAGCUCUGGGUCCCCAGGCCCCCAGGCACCGCAUGGGCCCCAUGGGGAGGCCGCCUGAGCCCACAGGGAGGCUGAGGGGCCAUCUCUUGCUCACACUCCCCAUGGACGGGGUUGGACUUGCCCGCCACUCUCCUUCCGCCUGUGUGGCGAGUUCCUCUUGGGGCUCUUUGCCUUGGAAGCUGUCCUGUCUUCCCCAGGCGUCCACCACUUUGUCCUCUUCCAGUUAGAUCGCUCAGAGCCAGGUGGGGCCUUUACACAGGAGUGUUCCCAGCCUCCGGCUGCAAACAGCUUGGACGGACGGCCAAGGGAGCCCUUCGCUACACGUGGCGUUGUUCACCAUGACUCCUACUGCUCCAAGUCCCUCCUGCGCACCAUCUAGCCAGGUCCUCCCAGGAGCCUCGUGAACGAGGAGCUGGAGUAGGGGUGCAGCUCAGUCAAAAUGAUCUGCUUGAGCUGGCCACAUGUCGUCACCCUUGGCCCCUUAGCAAGGCCAGUCAGGUCCUCCUGGAGCUCACCUCGUCUGUGGAGCUGACACCUCCCCUGUUCCCGUGUGUUGACCGAAACAUCGCCAGUGCACUAACUCUGAUCUUGGCCCGGUCUGGGGGCAAGAAAACAGACGCAAAGCGUGCGAAGGCCACCUGCCGGCAAGUGACAGAACUAGAGCCUGACGGUGGCUCCCCGGCCAUCCUGGCUCCCCAACCUGGGCUCCUGGGGUGAGUCCUCCUGGUACCA
rnacentral:lncRNA from 1 species